rnacentral:rRNA from 1 species
GUCCAGACUCCUACGGGAGGCAGCAGUGGGGAAUAUUGCACAAUGGGGGAAACCCUGAUGCAGCAACGCCGCGUGAGUGAAGAAGUAUUUCGGUAUGUAAAGCUCUAUCAGCAGGGAAGAAGAUGACGGUACCUGAGUAAGAAGCCCCGGCUAACUACGUGCCAGCAGCCGCGGUAAUACGUAGGGGGCAAGCGUUAUCCGGAUUUACUGGGUGUAAAGGGAGCGCAGACGGUGAGACAAGUCUGAAGUGAAAGCCCGGGGCUCAACCCCGGGACUGCUUUGGAAACUGCCUGACUGGAGUGCUGGAGAGGCAAGCGGAAUUCCUAGUGUAGCGGUGAAAUGCGUAGAUAUUAGGAAGAACACCAGUGGCGAAGGCGGCUUGCUGGACAGUAACUGACGUUGAGGCUCGAAAGCGUGGGGAGCAAACAGGAUUAGAUACCCCUGUACA